GGAGUCACGCGAAGUCGGAAGUACCAGCUGCGGGAAGGAGCUGCCCACUGUGCGUCUUCUCAACUUGUUGGGACAACCUUCCUGCGGAAAGGAGAGACAACCUUCCUGCAGAAAGGAGCUACCUGCUUCAGGUCUACUGAGAGCUGUUCUGCCACUCAAUAAAGCUCUUCUCCAUCUUGCUAAGCCUCCAUUUGUCCGCAAUACCUCAUCUCCCUGGACGCAGGACAAGAACUCAGGACCCGCCUGGAGGUACUAAAAGAGCUUUAACACAAACAGGGCUGAAACACGCUCCCUUGCUUGCCACAUUGCGGGUGACGAGAAGGAGAAAAGAGCUGUGUUCCUUUGAGGAUCCCAGACCUAGGGUCUCCCUGAGCCAGGGCUGUGACACUCCCUUUGGGGUUCUAUGGUUCCUGGCAUCUUCAAGCUUCCAGGCGCCACCACCUUCGUUCCCUUCAUCCAAACAGGUGCCCACAGCAGAAUCCACAUGCCGUCCAUCUGGUCCAGCCUCACGCAGAGCCACAACUGUGCUGGCGCCUGGAGCUGCCAGCCCCACUGCAGCAGCCGGACUGACAUUCAGACGUGGAGCAAGUUGGACUGCAUAGGGACCCACCAGUGAGAUGGACGCUGUCUGUAAACGGUUCUCCAGGGAGGCUGCUCUGCCAAGUCUGGUAUUUCAUGAAUAGAUCUGAAAACAGACAUUAUCUCUUCUCCCAGUGAAGAGAGAGCGAUGAAGCCUCAGGACAAAAGGAGGCAGUGGGAUGAUGCCACCAAGGGACCAUUCUGAAGAGCCAUCAGCAAAAAGC
rnacentral:lncRNA from 1 species